UAUAAAGGACCUUUCCAGCAAGAACGUAACAAAUAUGUUCAAUUUAAAAUGAAGAACUGUGCAAUAGGCAGGUAGGAGUUUAGAACUGAUCUGUGGGCAGGGGAAAUUGACUGCCAUAGCUACUUUGCUGUUCAGAUUUUUAACAAUAAAACUAAUUACUCAAGAUUAAUUUUUUUCCACUAAACCUCCACACAUGUUUGACAAAACCUAGAGUUUCAGCUCUUCCAAUCAUUUAUCCUCUGGAGAUUCAGCAACAGCUCUUUCUUUGAAUAUAUCUGGCUCACAAUGUUAAGCCAGGAUAGCAAAGAUGAUGUUAACAUACCAGGCUGUGGAGUCUAAAGAAACCCAUGGUAAAUUCAGUGCAAAUCCUCCCAUGUUAAUUCAUUGUUAACGUGGUAAAUGAAACAUACAAAAGAGAAGAGAUCUGGAAUUCAAGCUCCUGCUCUGUUCUUAUUUGUUCUGGUGUAAAUCUGGAGUAACUCUACUGAAGUCUGUUCCUCAGCUGGUAUAAAUCAGUUGUACCAGCUGAAGAUGUGGCCCAUAAUGCCAAAACUAGUGUGAGUGAGAAGAGAAUCAGGACCAAAGCACCUACGGCAACUGUACUCCUCCGCCUUUUAUGGGAUGCAUUACUUUUGCAUAGAGUUUUCAUGACACAGUCACAUAACAUGGGAAUGUGACAUGGCAUAUGGAUGAUGUUGAAGAGGUCAUGUUCAGUAGUGUCCCCCACCAGGCCAGGACCCUGUUGUGGUAGGCACUGUACAGAUAUAGAUAGAUAGAUAGAUAGUCCUUGUCCCAAGUAGCUAUUUAGACUGUAAGCUAAUAGUUAACAGGCAGAUGAGAUGGACAGAUUAGUGGAAGAAUGGGACCGUUAGGCAAGACAGGAAGUUUUAGCCUAAGUUAACUGUGUGCACAAUAAAGUAGUCAUGCUAAUGACUUGUCAAUGCUAAUUAAUAGUUCUUAUUUUGAUCUGCAAACAGUAGUUUUUAUCACAAUUCUGAAAUUAAAUCAGAGUGUUUUUAUUUCCAAAUCUAUUAUCAAGCAUCCCUUUUGAGUUUGCUGAAUUAUGUUUUCUAAAACACCAUAUUUUGGAUAUGACGUACUUGAAAUGGGAUUGUCUUUCUGUCGAGCAGGCAUGUCUGUAUUGCAGUAAGCUCUACAAAGGUUUUUGUGUUUACUUAGUACUAAACAAAACUGCAUUUUUAUGACUGUUAUAAAUACAUGGCGCCAAGAUUUUCAGAAGUGACUAGUGAUUUUGGGCACCCAACUUCUGCGUCAUUGUAAAAGGGCCUGGUCAAAUCAGGCCCCUUUAAGUUGUCUCGGGUGAGGCACCCACUAAUGACUUGGGAAAGUCUUGGCUCUGAUUUAUUAUACAAGGGGAAUAACCUAUACCAGUAAAAGGCACCUUUAUCCUGGCAUAGCUGCAUCCUCACUACAGGUUGUAAAGUAUAACUAUUUUAGGUAAAAAAAAACCCACACCCUUAACAGGACUAGUUAUACUGGUACAAAAUUUUCAGCCUGCUCUUAACUAGGCCCCCCUUUUUCCACUUAAAGUUUUGCAUUCACAGUUAUUUGUGGACACAAUUUAGAUCUUUACAUGUUUCUGUACCUGAUCUGUGCGAACAGUCACGUAUUGAGAUGUCUAAAUGACUUAAAAUAUGCCUUAACUUACAACUCUGUAUCUCAUUCUGAAUAUUCUGAGCCAUCCAGGCCCCCUGAAUUCCGCAAUCCUUUAACUGGAUUCUCCAGAGGGAAAAGAGGGAAGGAAUGAUCUGAUGGGUAAGGCAAUGGACUGGGGUGCAGAAGAGCUCCAUUCUAUUCCUGGCUCUGCCACGGGCCUGCUGUGUGACCAUAGGGAAAGGACUUCACAUCUCUGCUUCUCCUUCUACCGAACAGAGAUAUGUCCUUUGGCAUCAAAUAAAUCCCUCUGCAGGAAAACCCCACAGAGGGGAUUGGGAACUCUGUGAUGGCAUAUAUGGAAUUCACCUCCCACUCGAAAUGCGGAAAGGAUGCUGUAUAUGCACAAUGUAAAGGGUGCCCAGAGAAUGCAAGCAGGAAACAGGCAUAUGGAUGGGACUGCAGCAGAAUAAUUUAAACAAAGAAGAAUGCCAGGAGGAAUCAGAGGAUGCUGAAGAUAAUCCACUUUACCACUGCCAUAGCCACUCAAUGGCCUAUGAGAGCAGAAAAAUAGAACAAUGUCAAGCUAAGCGGAAGCUCUAUGCAGCAUCAAUAAUUUGUCUCAU